ACCCGGGUGGCCAGUGACAAAUACUGCCCUUAAUGAGUCACUUUAGACUGGGAAGUUUUAAUUACACUCUGUGUGGUUCGUAAGUCUGAAUUAGAAACUCUUAAUCCCCCGUUUGCAGCAGAUGGGAAAAUGGCUGCGGCCCUCAGGCGGUGAAAGGUCCUGGGAUAUGGCCGCCAUUUUUAUUGGGGGAUAUUAAAUCAGAAUAAUUGAGGCUGGGAUCUCAAAAGCAAGUUUUUACAGUCAAUGGAGUCAUCAGGAUCUGAAUAUCAUUGGCAAUUAACUGUGGAAGGAGAAAGAUUGUUAAGGCGGAGAGAUGGCCUGUUGUAGAGUGGCGUGCUGUUCCUGUCGGAUGUGGGAGAUUAGGGAGAGUUUCAAUGAUCCUGAUGAUUAUGUCUGUAGCAAGUGUGAUUGCAAAUCCUUUUGGAUCACAUGGAUUGGUGGAGGAGUGAUUAAAGGCAGUGAGGA